rnacentral:rRNA from 1 species
UACGUAGGAUUCGAGCGUUAUCCGGAUUUAUUGGGCGUAAAGCGAGCACAGGUGGUUUAUUAAGUCUGGUGUAAAAGGCAGUGGCUCAACCAUUGUAUGCAUUGGAAACUGGUAGACUUGAGUGCAGGAGAGGAGAGUGGAAUUCCAUGUGUAGCGGUGAAAUGCGUAGAUAUAUGGAGGAACACCGGUGGCGAAAGCGGCUCUCUGGCCUGUAACUGACACUGAGGCUCGAAAGCGUGGGGAGCAAACAGG